AUAUCAGUCAUGCAUAGCAUAUCAAUAAGCGGAGGAAAAGAAACUAACAAGGAUUCCCUUAGUAACGGCGAGUGAAGCGGGAAGAGCUCAAAUUUGAAAUCUUCAAGGUUUUACCUUGACGAAUUGUAGUUUAAAGAAGUGUUUUCUGUUGAAGUUUUGGUAAAAGUUCUUUGGAAUAGGACAUCAUAGAGGGUGAGAAUCCCGUAUUUGACCAUUACUUUCAGCUUUGUGAUACACUUUCAAAGAGUCGGAUUGUUUGGGAAUGCAGUCCAAAAUGGGUGGUAAAUUUCAUCUAAAGCUAAAUAUUGGCGAGAGACCGAUAGCGAGCAAGUACCGUGAGGGAAAGAUGAAAAGAACUUUGAAAAGAGAGUUAAACAGUACGUGAAAUUGUCAAAAGGGAAGCGUUUGACACCAGUGUUGUUUUCUCGAAAAUCAAUUAAAAAGAGUUGGAUUUUGUGUUGUAUUGACUUUAUCAGCUUUCUUCACUCUUUUCCAGCUUUUUUUAAUGCACUUUUCGUUUAACAAGUCAACAUCAGUUUCUUUUGUUGUAAAAAGGUCAUUGGAAGGUGGCUUUCUCUUCGGAGAAAGUGUUUAUAGCCUUUGACUCAUGCAAUCGGAGAGACUGAGGUCUGCAGCGUAGAUCCUUCGGGGUUAGAUACAUUUGUGCUAAGUUAUAGCUUUUCAUAGACAACUUGUUGACUAUGUUUAGUCUUGUAGCUUACUCGCUUAUGCUAUUUUACCUACGCUUAGGAUGUUGAACUCUAUCACACACAG
rnacentral:rRNA from 1 species